ensembl:lncRNA
GUGUGUGUGUGUGUGUGUGUGUGUGUGUGUGUGUGUGUGUGUGUGUGUGUGAGACUGCAUAGUCGCGUGUGUGUCCUGCCAUUUGCAGCUGUGGUUCAGCAGGUGCGAUAAGAACUGAAGGCAGAUCCUCCUCAGAGAUCCUCUCUCCCUCUUUCUCUAUCUUUUUUUCUGUCCUUCUCUUUUGCUUUUUAUGUCUCGUCUCUCUUUUCAUCAGCCUCACGCAGCUCUUCACUAAAUCCAGGGCUCUGACAAGCAGCGACUCGUUCGAUUGGUAUGAACCCCAUUCAAAAGUCUGCAUCUAGCCAAGUACCGGUACAGUCCAAAUGCAUUGGGGAGGUAACUUGUGAGGACUUGGGAAAAGCAAGUAUCCAAGAAUGCAUUUCACAACAACCAGCGGCACUGCGUCAGGAGUUUGUACUCCUGAGUCAUACUUGCCAAGUACAGAGUAUGCAAGUCCGAACUUGCCGUAUUUGAUUUAGAGAGGCCCGGUAUCUCGUUCCAACCUGCGAUUGGUCCAAAAUAUCACAUGGUUACAGUAGGGUCUGGAUAGUGGGCUUUUUCCUAUUGUCAGACCCCCCAGGAUUUCGGGAUGUUGCGAUUCGCAACUUCAAAGCAACAUCCAUCAUUCACCGCAAAUUCAGGGCGGUGUCGCAAUUUUAACCAACCACCACAACUUUCCCGCAAAUUUGACCAAUCAGUGGCGUCGUCUUGAACUGACGUCGACAAACUACCUUAUGCUUACUUCCGUGUUUACUACUUCAAGCGAUUGAAGCAUUCAUGCAGCAUGUGCGUGUCCAACGUUUCACACUUGCCGACCAAAAUAACUGCGAAAGAUCGCGAAAAGCAGUAUCCUGCUUUCUACAUGAAAGCGAGGGGAAAUUAUUUUGCACUGCAUUUAACAUUGUGGUGGAACAUAAGCGGAAAUCUUCCAUUGAUUUUUUUUGUUUUUUGUUUUGAUCCAUUGCAUUUUGCCACUGCGAAACAUAACUGCAGAACUGCAGGCAGGACGUCAGACGAAGAGGCAGAUCACUAUGACACAGGCUGUUGCAUCCAAGUCAAUAUGCCAGUGCGGACAGAAUCAAGAAUAAAUUAUUCAUAGGACCAUUUCUCAGUGUUUUUUUCUUUUUCAGUAAUAACUUAAUAUUUAAUAAUUACUCAGGGAAAAUUGCAGUAAUAACUUAAUAUUUAACAUUAGGAAAAUCACAACUUUCACUUCCUCUAGCACUGUAAUCGCAACAAAAACCUUAAAAACACGCAACUUUCAUCGCAACUUUAUGGAAAAGCUCACGCAACAGCAGGCAUUUUAGGCCGCAACAAUCUCAAAAAAGGCCCGCGAAAUCCUGGAGGGACUGUAUUUUCAGACAUGGCAAAGCAAGAGCAAAUGUUGCUGAAUUAAAUAAUUAGAUGACAUACAUGUACCUUUCAUAGUCUUUCACAAAGAUAGGCAGAAUUAUUGCUAAAGCUAGCAAGCUAGACAGGAGUUUUUGGGGAGGGGCUUUGGUGGGAGGCUUGAUAGGAGGGAUUGGGAUUUUCUCGGUUCGAUUCUUUCAAAAAUGUUUCUCCCAAUUGACUAACCUAGCUUUAAAGUCACGUAACAAUAUUUCUUAAUGCACAAGAUGUCCUCGGGCAAUGAAUGUAAUUUUUGUCAUGUCGUAUGUUAUAUACAUGGAGUCUGAGAUCAAUAAAUUGUAGAUUGCUAUUUAAUUCAUGUAUGCAUUCACAACCCAAUGUAUGUUUGUGGUUCUUUUGCUCUUUGUAUGCAGUGACUGAGCAUAACGGAGGACAAUAACGCCCAAUCCCAAUUCACUUCUUGCCUUACCACUUACCCCUACCCCUCUGUUUGAGGGGUAGGGCUAGGAAGUUAGGCUACAUCGCCAUCCAAAAGUCUUACAAAACAUCGGCAAGACAGUGGCGAAUAACGCACCAGCAACCAAAGAAAACAACAAAUGUAUUUAAAAAUCACUACAGCUGCAGAUGGCAUUGUUUGAUUCAAAAUGUCUGUCAACUAUGGAAGGACAUUAGUUUAAAUAACCUCUGGCAGCUCGGCCCCGCCACGCAUGGCCUCGAGUGUCCCUUGCCUACCAUUCACUCAUUAUUUAAUGCAUGCUCGCGCAGGGCAAGGGAUUGUGGAAUGGCUUGCAUGCGGGCGGGGGAUUGCGGCACGUUGAAAGGGGAGGGAGAAAGUUAAAUUUAUGCAAAUGAAUGGGUCUUGCAGUGGUAAACUACUACAAGCAACCACAAGGAAGGGGUUGGGAGUUGCCAUGCGUUCUCGAAAAAGAGACCACGCUUUUUAUGGGCCCGAGUUUAUAGAAAUGUUGCCUAAACACAACCAAAGUAUGCAUGUUAACACGUGAUAUUUGGAAAUGGCAACGCAACAAAAAUCUACAUUAACGUGGAUUUUAUGAUCGAGGCCAAUGAUGGACCUUAACACAUAGCACAUUUAGGUUUUUCAACUGGCAACAUCGGACUAUCCAGGCAGCUUUAUAAUGGCUCAGCCUUUAUAACCCCUCCAAAAGUCUCAUAGUGCCUCUCAUUCGCAUUGUAUUCGACUCGUGGUCGCGUGGGGCAAGGAAUUCUGGGAAGGCACGUGUGAGGGAGGCUGAUCGCAGCGCAUGUAGAGGGGAGGGACAGAAGUUGAACUUCAGUUAACGAUUGGACCAUCGACAUUGAGUGUAUACUAGUGGACCUUACGGACUCGCAGUGGAUUUUAAUUUCCUGGUUUUAAGCACUUCCAUCAACAAAGACGUUAUCUCCCCCAAACAGCCACUAGAGAGAAUGCGGGGCUUUGACAUGCUCUGUCAUUUGCGAUUGAACACACCAUAAUAAGACCCGACGUGUUAACAUGUCCAUUAUUUUUGCAAUAACAUGUCAAAUUAUAACAUGUUAUAUUAGGUACUGUUCGAGGAUAAAUUUCAAAAAUGUUAAUUGCGCUUAUGGCCUACCAUAGUUAACAAACUCGUCACAUGGCUGCAUAAUCAACAUAGAUGACUACUGCUUACGUAACAGGGCUUCCAAGGGUCGUCCCCCUUCACAGCGGAAGAUUUC